CUGCAAACUUCCUGCGUGCCUGGGUCUGGGGUGACCCUGUACAUUCCUAAAGUGCUUGCGAGAACAUUAUGAAACAGCUUGAGACCUUGCCUUGCUCCAUCCAGAGCAAGGUUAUAGAAAUUUUAGAUAAUU
ensembl:snoRNA